CUCAAUCUCUAUAUUUUAGUAUAAGGGUACUUAUUUCUUACGCCAUUCACAUUGGAGUUUGGGCUGAUAUUACGCUCGGUAUCCCUGAAUUAGGCAAAACCGGAACAGGGAAUAUGAUAUCAAAACAUACUAUCCCUCUGCCCGGCUGUACAAAACAACAAAAAACCUGGUAAAACAUACACAUCAGGGGGGCCCGCUGAGUAUUACAGGGUGUGCCCCGUGCGACACGUUCCGCCCCGCCACCCGGAACAGGGUAGCCCACUUUUGUUGAGGGCAAGUGGCAUUCGUAGGUGACCUGCGGAGGGUCAUUAUGAGUUUUAAUUUCCAACCCUGUGAAUUACCACUGUUGCCUCGGUGGUCGGUGCUGGAAACAGUGCUGCCACCGGUGGACUAUAAACUCUUGUUAUUUUGUCAAAUUGAAUCAAAAUUAGAAAUAAGUUAAAAUUUCAACAACGGAUCUCUUGGUUCUGGCAUCGAUGAAGAACGCAGCGAAAUGCGAUAAGUAAUGUGAAUUGCAGAAUUCAGUGAAUCAUCGAAUCUUUGAACGCACAUUGCGCCCCAUUAGUAUUCUAGUGGGCAUGCCCUGUUCGAGCGUCAUUUCGACCCCUUAAGCCUAGCUUAGUGUUGGGAGACUGCCUAAUACGCAGCUCCUCAAAACCAGUGGCGGAGUCUGUUCGUGCUCUGAGCGUAGUAAUUUUUUAUCUCGCUUCUGCGAGCCGCCAGACGACAGCUGUAAACCGCACCUAUACGAGGCAUUUUUUAAUGGUUGACCUCGGAUCAGGUAGGAUGCCCC
rnacentral:rRNA from 1 species